GGGGGCGACAUGGUUUCGACGUGGAUUACAACUCCUAAGGGGCAUGUCGAGGGGCAGAAUACCUCGUAAAACUAGCUGCAAAAAAAAAUAUAGACGCCAACGACGAUCGUUACGCUCUAGCUGCUUAAUCAGCUAGCCUCUGACUGAGUACGUGCUUGUGCGCUCAGAGUCUGUGUCAAAGCGGACUUUUCAGGGGUCGACUUUCACAAGAAUAGCGGAGAAAUAUGUUUGGGAUUUUUCCGUGAAACUUUACCAAAAUCGCCGUUUGAUUGUCCUGCCUCUCGGAUAACUUGCGGUUAAAUUUAAAGAGAGAACUAUGCAUGUAGAACCAAGGGCCGAGGAUUUACGGACGCGGGUUCGAUUCCCGCCGCCUCCACCA
rnacentral:tmRNA from 1 species